UUUGAUUCCAAUCCCUUUCAUUUUGCUUUGUGUUCUUGUGGGAGGGAGUAUCGUGCUGUGCAAAAAAUCGGACAAAAUGUCAAGUUUACGGGCAAAUACUACACAGCGGCAGACACAGGAAACUCAGGACGCAGAUAUUAUCUACAGCCAACCAAGACACGUCCAAG